GAUGAACGCUGGCGGCGUGCCUAAUACAUGCAAGUCGAGCGAACGGACGAGAAGCUUGCUUCUCUGAUGUUAGCGGCGGACGGGUGAGUAACACGUGGAUAACCUACCUAUAAGACUGGGAUAACUUCGGGAAACCGUAGCUAAUACCGGAUAAUAUUUUGAACUGCAUGGUUCAAAAGUGAGAGACGGUCUUGCUGUCACUUAUAGAUGGAUCCGCGCUGCAUUAGCUAGUUGGUAAGGUACCGGCUUACCAAGGCAACGAUGCAUAGCCGACCUGAGAGGGUGAUCGGCCACACUGGAACUGAGACACGGUCCAGACUCCGACGGGAGGCAGCAGUAGGGAAUCUUCCGAAAUGGGCGAAAGCCUGACGGAGCAACGCCGCGUGAGUGAUGAAGGUCUUCGGGUCGUAAAACUCUAUUAUUAGGGAAGAACAUAUGUGUAAGUAACUGUGCACAUCUUGACGGUACCUAAUCAGAAAGCCACGGCUAACUACGUG
rnacentral:rRNA from 1 species